rnacentral:rRNA from 1 species
UACGAAGGGGGCUAGCGUUGUUCGGAAUUACUGGGCGUAAAGCGAGCGUAGGUUGCUUAGUGUGUCAGUGGUGAAAUCCCAGGGCUUAACCCUGGAACUGCCAUUGAAACUGCUAAGCUGGAAUCUCAGAGGGGAUAGCGGAAUUCCAAAUGUAGGGGUGAAAUCCGUAGAUAUUUGGAGGAACACCGGUGGCGAAGGCGGCUAUCUGGAUGAGUAUUGACACUGAGGCUCGAAAGCGUGGGGAUCAAACAGG